rnacentral:rRNA from 1 species
AUUGAACGCUGGCGGCAGGCUUAACACAUGCAAGUCGAGCGGGGGAAGGUAGCCUGCUACCGGACCUAGCGGCGGACGGGUGAGUAAUGCUUAGGAAUCUGCCUAUUAGGGGGGGACAACAUCUCGAAAGGGAUGCUAAUCCCGCAUACGUCCUACGGGAGAAAGCAGGGGAUCGUCGGACCUUGCGCUAAUAAACGAGCCUAAGUCGGAUUAGCUAGUUGGGGGGGUAAAGGCCUACCAAGGCGACGAUCUGUAGCGGGGCUGAGGGGAUGAUCCGCCACGCUGGGACUGAGCCACGGCCCAGACUCCUACGGGAGGCAGCAGUGGGGAAUAUGGGACAAUGGGGGGAACCCUGAUCCAGCCAUGCCGCGUGUGUGAAGAAGGCCUUAUGGUUGUAAAGCACUUUAAGCGAGGAGGAGGCUACUCUAGUUAAUACCUAGGGAUAGUGGACGUUACUCGCAGAAUAAGCACCGGCUAACUCUGUGCCAGCCGCCGCAGUAA